GUGCUCGAAAAUGUUAAAGUUCUUAUUUCAUGGUAUAACUUUGGUAUGCUUGGACCUAGAGUCUUCAAACUUGACAUGAAGGUUGGCCAGGAUUAACAGAUGACCACUGGUCAUUUCAAGGUCAUUCAUUUGAAGGUCAAGGUCACUGUGACCUUCAAUAUAAAAAUGUUAAAGUUGUUAUAACUUUGGUAUGCUUGGACCUAGAGUCUUGAAACUUGACAUGAAGGUUGGCCAGAACUAGUAAGUAACCACUGGACAUUUCAAGGUCAUUCAUUUGAAGGUCAAGGUCACUGUGACCUUGAAUGUAAAAAUGUUAAAGUUGUUAUAACUUUGGUAUGCUUGGACCUAGAGUCUUGAAACUUGACAUGAAGGUUGGCCAGAACUAGUAAGUAACCACUGGACAUUUCAAGGUCAUUCAUUUGAAGGUCAAGGUCACUGUGACCUUGAAUGUAAAAAUGUUAAAGUUCUUAUUUCAUGUUAUAACUUUGGUAUGCUUGUACCUAGAGUCUUCAAACUUGAAAUAAAGAUUGGCCAGUACUAGAAGAUGACCACUGGUCAUUUCAAUGUCAUUCAUUUGAAGGUCAAGGUCACUGUGACCUUAAAUGUUAAAAUGUUAAAAUUGUUAUAACUUUGGUAUGCUUGGACAUAGAGUCUUCAAACUUGACAUGAAGGUUUGCAAGCACACUUAGAUGACCACUGGUCAUUUCAAGGUCAUUCAUUCUAAGGUCAAGGUCACUGUGACCUUGAAUGUAAAAAUGUUAAAGUUCUUAUAACUUUGGUAGGUAAAAAUGUUAAAGUUCUUAUUCCAUGUUAUAACUUUGGUAUGCUUGUACCUAGAGUCUUCAAACUUGACAUAAAGGUUGGCCAGUACUAGAAGAUCACCACUGCUCAUUUCAAUGUCAUUCAUUUGAAGGUCAAGGUCACUGUGACCUUCAAUGUUAAAAUGUUAAAAUUGUUAUAACUUUGGUAUGCUUGGACCUAGAAUCUCAAACUUGACGUAAAGGUUUGCAAGCACACUUAGAUGACCACUGGUCAUUUCAAGGUCAUUCAUUUCAAUGUCAUUCAUUUGAAGGUCAAGGUCACUGUGAACUUAAAUGUUAAAAUGUUAAAAUUGUUGUAACUUUGGUAUGCUUGGACCUAGAAUCUCAAACUUGACGUAAAGGUUUGCAAGCACACUUAGAUGACCACUGGUCAUUUCAAGGUCAUUCAUUUGAAGGUCGAGGUCACUGUGACCUUGGAUGUAAAUAUGUUAAAGUUGUUAAUACUUUGGUAUGCUUAGACCUAGAGUCUUCAAACUUGAUAUGAAGGUUGGCCAGAACUAGUAGAUGACCACUGGUCAUUUUAAGGUCAAGGUCACCGUGAGAAGUUUAUUUUCUUACAUUUGAUAAUGAAAUUGAUGGAAACUUCAAACAAUAUCUUACUAAUUUGCUAAUAAAAAAAUUGAGAUCAAACUUUCCUAAUUGUCAAUUCAAGUUCAUAUUUGUGACCUUAAAUGUUAUUGUUGUUCAUGUAUAUGCAUGCAUUCAAAACAUAACACAAGGUUUGCUCAUGCCUUGAAAAGUACUUACAUUUCAUUUUGACCUUUGAACAAUAUUUCAGUAAUUUAAGUAUUGCAUUGACAAAAACACGAAAGGUACUUUCCUGUCAUUUAAAUCAAAAAUCCGGCUUCAAUGCGGUCAUCUCCGACCGCGGAACUCUUGUUGAUACAUAAAUUUCUUUGAUUGGAAUUGCUUUGAUGAACAAUCUUGGUGACUUACUUGUGCUUCUUUUCUUACAAAAAAUGCAAUUAACGUAUUUUCUGUGCAAAUUUUUAAACAGAGAUACCAUUUCAUUUCCAUUGCAAGCUCAUGUGUUGUGGCAGUUAUUUUGAAGGAAUGUCUUGUUUAAAUUAUGUGUUCAAUUGGAUUUAUUCUGUGUGUAUGAUUCUGAUGUGAAUUGAUUAAAUGUUAUUCAAUGA